UACGAAGGGGGCUAGCGUUGUUCGGAGUUACUGGGCGUAAAGGGCUCGUAGGCGGCGCACCAAGUCAGGCGUGAAAGCCCUGGGCUCAACCCGGGAAUUGCGCUUGAGACUGGUGUGCUCGAGUACGGGAGAGGAUAGUGGAAUUCCCAGUGUAGAGGUGAAAUUCGUAGAUAUUGGGAAGAACACCGGUGGCGAAGGCGGCUAUCUGGACCGUAACUGACGCUGAGGCGCGAAAGCGUGGGGAGCAAACAGG
rnacentral:rRNA from 1 species